GCAACUUGAGACCAUUACUCCUCGUUCUGUCAUCUGCUACCACUGAGAACAGUCUAGAUCCAUCCUCUUUGGAACCCCCUUUCAGGUAGUUGAAAGCAGCUAUCAAAUCCCCCCUCAUUCUUCUCUUCCACAGACUAAACAUCCCAGUUCCCUCACCCACUGUAUAAAAGCCAGUCAGCUGCGAACCAGCUGAGCAGCGAACAGCAGAGCGGCUAACAGAGGGAGUUUGCCUGGAAUCUGAGAGAAGGUACGCUAAGGGCUGCAUUAAGGAGGCUGUGUUGAGAUUGGUUCAGCAGAAAAUCCUGUUCAGAAUUAACUGUGAAGAACCAGGGACUCAAUUUGUACAUCAAGAAAAGCACCAGAACUGUGGGGUUUUCACUGAAUGCUGAGGACAGGAAAGAGGAGUCUGAAGAAUGGAUACAUCCAAGUGUUUUGUAAUGAUUGAUAAAAAGAAAUCAAAAGAAAGUUCACACAGAAAUUUCAUGACCUUCUUGUCUAGAUGGAAGACUACUCCUAAUGUUGAAAUACAACAGGUACAGAAUAGGUGUCAAAAAUUUAGGCCCUGAGCUGAAUGGAUUCUCUUAAUUUUGAGAAACUGACACUCAUUUUGACCCAGAUUGUUGCUAUAAGUAAUUCAAACUAGUAUAAUCCCUACUGCGAUUUAUAUGGACUCUGGCCAUUGGGCCACACUGCCCUGAUCCUAGGAGUGACUUAUAUGGACUCUGGCCGCUAGGGCGUACUACCUGCCUGCUAGGUGGGGGUUAUAUGGACUUGGGCCACUGUGCUACACUGCUCUGACACUCUGAAAAAUGUUACCAACAAUAGCCACCAAAGGCAAGGGAACAGUGGUCAAAUCCUCAGCUCGUGUAAAUUCACUGAUAGAUCUAUGACAAUUAAAACCAGCUGAGGAUUUAGACAAAUACAUUGAAUGCACAUGGAUUUUAAGGC